CGGCGGUGGAAACUGAUGAACUAGAGGGUGGUAGGGGUCACGGGAAUCCCAGUGUAGCGGUGAAAUGCGUAGAUAUUGGGAAGAACACCAGCGGCGAAAGCGCGUGACUGGGCCAUUACUGACACUCAUGGACGAAAGCUAGGGGAGCGAAAGGGAUUAGAUACCCCUGUAGUCCUAGCCGUAAACGAUGGACACUAGGUGUUGCCCGAUCGACCCGGGCAGUGCCGUAGCUAACGCGUUAAGUGUCCCGCCUGGGGAGUACGCACGCAAGUGUGAAACUCAAAGGAAUUGACGGGGGCCCGCACAAGCGGUGGAGUAUGUGGUUUAAUUCGAUGCAACGCGAAGAACCUUACCAGGGCUUGACAUGUCGCGAAUCCCCUUGAAAGGGGGGAGUGCCUUCGGGAGCGCGAGCACAGGUGGUGCAUGGCUGUCGUCAGCUCGUGUCGUGAGAUGUUGGGUUAAGUCCCGCAACGAGCGCAACCCACGUUUCUAGUUGCCAGCAUUCAGUUGGGCACUUUAGAGAGACUGCCGGUGACAAACCGGAGGAAGGUGUGGAUGACGUCAAGUCAGCAUGCCCCUUACGUCCUGGGCUACACACGUACUACAAUGCUUCGGACAGAGGGUUGCCAGCCCGCGAGGGUGCGCUAAUCCCGUAAACCGAGGCUCAGUUCAGAUUGCAGGCUGCAACUCGCCUGCAUGAAGGCGGAAUCGCUAGUAAUCGCCGGUCAGCAUACGGCGGUGAAUACGUUCCCGGGCCUUGUACACACCGCCCGUCACACCAUGGGAGUUGGCCACGCCCGAAGUUGUUAC
rnacentral:rRNA from 1 species